GGGUCUGUAUGCCCAGGGCAGUAGCUCACGGGGGUGGGGUGACAUUUUUAGUGUUUGUCCUGUCCUCUGACCAGCUCUCCCUGCUUCUCCUCCCCAGAGUGGACUAAGGACUAACUAAAGGAAAAAAGAUGUGGCCAAGGUUCUGGUGGAGUAGGUUGUUGGGGAGAAAGGACAGCAUAGGAUUAGAGGCCCAGAGGUUCUGGGACAAUCACUAUAUAACAUGGGCCACAUGUGUAAUUUUAUAUUUUCUAGUUAGCCACAUUAAAAAGGUUAAAAGAAACAGGUAGAAUUCAUUUUAAUGAUACAUUUUAUUAACCCAACAUAUUCAAAAUCUCAUUUCAACAUGUCAUCAGUGUAAAAAAUUAUCGAGAUAUUUUUAUAUUCCUUUUUUCUUCCUACAUCUUUGAAUUCUGUUAUUUCGCACAGCACAUCUCAGUUCAGAUGGGCCACGUUUCCAGUGCUUAAUAUGCACCUGUGGCCAGAGACGAACGCAUUAGGCAGGGCAUGCAGAAGAGCAGAGAAAUGAGGACAGACCCUCCCUAAGCAGUUCCUGCAGGGCGUGGGGAGUGUUGGCGGAGGUUGAAACUUCCUAGCUCAUCAAAUACAACACAAUCCCAAUGGGAGAGAUUGAGGUUGGAUAUAUCUUCCAAAGAAUGCCACUUUCUAAAAAGGAUAGUGUUUCCACUGCAACAGUUUCAGUUCCCUGGAUAGAAUCUUCUGCUCAUGUCCACUUACAAGCAGAUUUUCUUCCAUCUCUGCCACUCCU
rnacentral:lncRNA from 1 species